CACCCAUGAUGACUCGCCAUGCUAAUACUGAGGCACCGAGAGGGACAACUGUCCCUGAAUUCGGGUGUCUGUGAGUUAAAAUUGCUUCUCACGGGAAGUCCUGAGGUGU
ensembl:snoRNA